UACGUAGGGGGCUAGCGUUGUCCGGAAUCAUUGGGCGUAAAGAGCGUGUAGGCGGCCCGGUAAGUCCGCUGUGAAAGUCCAGGGCUCAACCCUGGGAUGCCGGUGGAUACUGUCGGGCUCGAGUCCGGAAGAGGAGUGUGGAAUUCCUGGUGUAGCGGUGAAAUGCGCAGAUAUCAGGAAGAACACCCGUGGCGAAGGCGGCUCUCUGGGACGGUACUGACGCUGAGACGCGAAAGCGUGGGGAGCGAACAGG
rnacentral:rRNA from 1 species